rnacentral:rRNA from 1 species
UACGUAGGGUGCAAGCGUUGUCCGGAAUCAUUGGGCGUAAAGAGCGUGUAGGCGGCUCGGUAAGUCCGCUGUGAAAGUCCAGGGCUCAACCCUGGAAUGCCGGUGGAAACUGUCGAGCUCGAGUCCGGAAGAGGCGAGUGGAAUUCCUGGUGUAGCGGUGAAAUGCGCAGAUAUCAGGAGGAACACCAAUGGCGAAGGCAGCUCGCUGGGACGGUACUGACGCUGAUAGCGCGAAAGCCAGGGGAGCAAACGGG